AGUAUAAGUGUUUGUGUAAGUCCCUCUAGGAUUUAGAUGGUGUAGAUGUCCUUGUCCAAUUAUGAAAUUCCCUUAUUUAUUUCUCUCGUUAGCCAAUUGUUAACCUAGAUUCAAUUAAACUAGAGUCUCUAGCUAGUUAACCUCAACAAACCUGCCUAGAUUUUCUAGUUAGUUUAAGUGUGCCAAUGUGUUCCCUCUCUCUCUAUGCCACGGCCUAGCUUGGAAAAGUGCUUAGGAAGGUUACAAAAUUAUGCCAACCACUGCGACUUAAUCAAGAAUUCACUCACAAGAUUAUGCAAAGCAAAGUCAAAACUACCAACACAAUAAUAUAAGAUUAUGCAAUUAUCAUAUUGGAAAUGGAUCAAAGCAUCGAGUUAAGGCACAGAGAGAAAAACGAAACAAGUGUUCUUAUUAAAGAAGAGAUGUACUCAAAUAGGAGAUGCAAGCCUUUCAAUGUUGCAACCGUCAAGCCAACCAAUUGGCAGAUGAAUUUGCUUUCAUAAACAUGUCAUAUACAAUGCUAAUAUUGGAUGCUUAUAGGCUAAAUGAUAAAAAUAUUUAAAGUUAUCUCGAUCGUAGACAAUUCUCUUUGAUGCUUCUUGCAAUGGCAUUAGGAGGGCAUAGGGGUCGAGGGUGGAGGCAUCGACGGAGGAGCUGGAUGCGUUGGUGCAGAGUAAGAAGGUGAGCAAGGCUGGUCAAGCUUUCUUGGGUGAGUGUUCGCAUGUGCCACUGCUGGAGAAACGGUCGGGAGCAGGUGUCAAGGAGGGUUAUUGGUUACAACAUCGUGAAAUUGUACGAGAAAUAACUGAUGCGUGAGGAUCUAAAAGGUUUGGAUUGGUUCAAGUUGGAGGAAGGAGAUGAAUGUACAGUUAAGUUCUUCGAUGAUGCUACUGGGUGGGUUUGAAGAUAUCUUGGACCUAAUGGGUGGAAUUAUUCUGGAUCUUUCGAAUCCGUUAUGCCCUGAGAUUGAUUUGGAUGAGAAGGGGAGGAGAGAAUCAUCAAGCUUUUUUGUAAGCGUCUUUGGCAGAUAUUGGCGAAGAAUGGGGACAUUAAGGUGUCAGACUCUCUUUUUUUUCCCCAUAGCAUAAAGAGGAUUAUGCGAUAUCUUUUACGGGUGAGCUGUGAACAGAUUUUGAUAACUACUUCAGUAUCAUGAGAUGGAAGCCUGAGUUUGAUCCAAAGAAGGAAGUUAUUGACAUGAUUAUCGCUUGGGUAAAAUUUUAUCUUUCUACUAGUACUUGGAUGAGUUGAUCAAAGGGCUUUGACAAGGUGCUUGUAAACUCAUCUGGUUGGUCAUGGAGGAAAUGAGAUAAGUUCAUAUAGUUAUCCUUAUUUAAUUAAUUCAGUUCAUCAAAUCAUAGUUUGAAUCAGUUUAAUUUCUGAAUAAUUAGAAGUUGAAGAGAAAACAUCAUAGAAAUUUACGUUGCCAUUUACUAUUGAAAAAUUCUUCAUAAUGUCACCGGGUGGAGAGGUAUGCUAUAUUCAAUUCAUUGAUUUUGAAGCAGUAUGUUUGAUUUGUUUGGUUGUGUUUAUCUCAUAAUUUUAUAAAAAUAUUGGGAAGAAUAUUUUUUUUUUUUCAGGCAUGACCCACCAAUUUCGCUUAUUUAUUUUGACAAGUUAAAAGUAUACGGAUACAAAUUUGUUUUAACGAAAUGAAUAUUGUCAAAGAUAGUAAAUUAAAAUUGACAUGAUUAUAUCGUAGCAAGGCUGGAAGCUUUGAUAUUAUAUUCUUUCUGGAAUUUGCUUUUGGUCGUGAGAAGUUAACUGACAUUCAAAGUUGAGAUGCAAAUUAAUACACACACAUAUGGGGGAAGAAGAUUAUAUAUAGUAUCCAAAUGUGUGGUGCCAUAGCAAUCAAUACACACACACACACACACACACACAUAUAUGUAUGUAUGUAUGUAUAUAAAUAUAUGACUGGAUUUUUUGGACCCAAAUGAGUGGUCUACGCAGGAAAUGAAGUAUAAUUUAGUUGCGGGAAGAUAUGAUCUCUGCGUUGUUAAUAUAAGGGUUGACUGAGUUUAUGUUAUGAUAAUAAAUCAUUUUUAUUUCUAAAGAUAUCUUGAGAAACAGGGCUUAAACCUAUGUGGAGUGGAUAUGAUGUUUUGGUGUGGGACUUGCAGUCGAGGCCACCCAUGAUUAUUAUAAUCCGUGGUGAGUAUUUAGGCUGGCCGAUAACCAGAUUCACUCCUUCUUUGUGCCAUACAUUUGAUAUAUGGCGAAAACCCACAGCUCAAGUUGAUCAUAUAUGAGAUUGUUUAACACAUAGGUUGCAUUCAUUCUAAUAUAUAAGAAUGGAAAUGGUUGCGGACUCUUGGGGUAACAUAAGUGUACGGAUCAAGUCCGUAAAGUCCCGUUACUUGGUUAUCUAUGAAUAUUGAUAAGAAAAGCUAUGGGAGAUUUGAUAUUGGAAUUUAAAAACAUAUAUAGGGUUAGCCAUAAACGUGGCAUUUAUUUAGCAAUGGUUCAUGCAUGAAUUUCGAUUAUUGUCUUCAAAACCUUUUGUCAAUUGUUUGAAAAUGCUAUUGUAUAGUGUUAAUCAAGGUUUGAUAGCUGGUUUUCAUUAUUUGAUUGCAAUAGAAGUUGCAAUUUUACGUCAAAACAUUCGUGUAUUUCUUGGUGAACUAUUUACUAUAAGUUCAAUGGCGGUUAUAAAUGAGGAGCAUGCUUUCUUAGUUAUCAUGGGUAUUCUUGAAUUAAUUAAUACAUGAGUUUUAUUAUUUUGUGAAUAUUAAUGGGGUGCAUGUCAAUGCGUUAUCAUAUGGAAGGAAAUUAAAAUUAUCGUUUGAAGAUUGCUUCCAAAAGCUACUGUGUGAUUUUUAUGGCUACAAAUUGUAAUAAGUUAUUGCUUGAAUUAAUAAUGUUAUGAUUGUAAAAAUUUUGACUAUAUAUCUUCCUCAGAAAUUCUAAUUUGAGUAGAAUGGAUGGUGAUAUAUGAUGCUCAAUUGUUUAAAAUAUCCCAAGUAUGGGACUUCCAUAAGUUUGACGCUUGUCUUAAUAUAUUAUGGUGAAUUUGAAAUUAUCAAAAAUUCUAAUUUAAUUAGAAUAGGAGGAGAUUAUGCGGUAAUAUUCUAAUUUAAUUAAAAUUAUUUAAGGUAUAAAAUAUUUUUCAUAUGAAUAAAUUAUGGUUAGUGUGGGGGUGUCUAGCAAAAAAAAAUAUAUAUAUAUUUUGGUUUAUCCUAAAUAUUGUGUUGUGAUAAAUUGUGAGCCUUAUUUUAUGAAUGUCAAGGUGUUUUGUAUUGUGAUUUAAAGGCAAAAAUCAACAAAGAGAAUGCUAUUAUUUGCAUAAGGGCAAAGUUUGUUGAUUAUGACAUUUUUUGUGUGGUUUGAAACAAGCAUUAUGAUGGUGCCCUAAAUUAUUUAAUUAUUUAUCUAUUGUAGAUAGAUCUAUUUUGAAAUAGGUGCGUGACCUAUUAAAUUAUCUUAGCAUAAGUGUGUAUAAUAACUUAUUUAUGAGUUAUGAUUCAUAUGAGAUAAAUAGAAUAUUUUUUAAAUUAUGGGAUUGUGAAUAGUGGAUCCCUAGCGUAUAAAAUAUAUAGAUGUUAAUGUGAGAAGAGCCACUAGUGAUUAUUCACCUUUAGUGGUGAUGGAAACAAAUAUAAUAAUAGAACCAUAGAGUUUAUUACUUUAAAAUUGAAGGCUAAGUUGUGAAGAAUCUCCUCAAUAAUUUUGGUGUAAAUCCGACACUUAGUGUCGAUAAGCAUUCCCAUGUUGUUGAAAAAGAAUGUAAAUGAGAUGAUUUCAUUGCUCAAUUUAUGUAAGUAUGUACAAAUUUUGAGAGCUUAUUGCAUUAAUCAAUAUUAAUCCCAUAAUAUAUAUUGUGUGGAGAUUGAGUACAUCAAGUAUAAUCUCUUAAGAGGAUGAGACAAAUGAUUG